AGAUUGAACGCUGGCGGCAGGCCUAACACAUGCAAGUCGAGCGGCAGCACGGGUACUUGUACCUGGUGGCGAGCGGCGGACGGGUGAGUAAUGCCUAGGAAUCUGCCUGAUAGUGGGGGAUAACGUUCGGAAACGGACGCUAAUACCGCAUACGUCCUACGGGAGAAAGCGAGGGACCUUCGGGCCUUGCGCUAUCAGAUGAGCCUAGGUCGGAUUAGCUAGUU
rnacentral:rRNA from 1 species